GCUUCCUCCCUUGCUGCCGCCACCUCCAGCCCCCGAUCCCCGUGACCAGCACACCAACGUCCGGCGAGAUACCGGGGGCGCAGCAGCCGCCCUCCCCACCGCGGCUCGGGGGCAGGCAGCAGCAGCCCCUCCCGCUGCCCAGGCUGGUAGCAGCCCCUCCUGUCGCCCUCCCCGAUCCAGAUCCCUCGCCGCCACCCACCUCCACCACAUCUCCCCUCUCCACCUCGAUGCAGAACUCCCCCGUCCCCUCGAUGCGGAGCUUGCUACCGUCCAUGGCCUCCCCCACGCCCUCCUCCUCUCGCCCCUCCCCUUCCCUCACCAGAAGGGAGAGAAGAACCCGAGGGAGGGAGAUCCAACGCGAUCCAGCCUCGGUCUCCGCUGCCUCGGCCUCGCGCCUCGCCGGAGCAGCUCCGCCGCCGACCGAAGUCCCGUAGGUCGACGUGUUCCCCCGCUCUUCUUCCUCCCUCUGUUUGUGUCUCCCUUUUUUUCUCUCAAGUCUCAAUCCCCUUUGUACUUCUCUAUGCAAGGAGGCCGCCAUGGACGCGUGAGGUCCUUCGCUCCGACCCACAACCCGGCGGCCUUGCCGACGUCGUCACCCUGGUGAGCCGCAACCUCGAUGGAGGUCCGGCUUCGGAUCCGAGCCGCAGGCACCCACCCGUCGUUUUCGUGCUUCCGCUCCUGCUCCGUCGUUGUCACGCGACCAUCUUGACUCCCUCCCGCACGCACAAGCAACAGGAAGAUGCAGUUCUUCGUCAAGACCUCAUAGGGUCAUGAGGGAAGAUAUACCAUAUAUAUUCACUCCUCAAGGGAAGCUGCAACCCGCAGAACGUAAGAAAGGGCUGUUGUGUGUUGCGUCCUCGCCAUGUCUGGACAUCAAGUCAGUAGGUUCUUGUCAUCGUCAUGUGUGAGCUGCCAACAGCUCAUCCAUCUCACCAACCUAACAGGGUCUGCUUCUUCCAGGAUGAGCACCGGAUCAGCGUCGACGUGUGUGCCCGCAAGGUCGUGGGUUGCGAGGUCUAUGAGCUGGUUGAGCCACCGCGCGAAGACAUCACUUCCCGCUUCGUUCACGCUUGGCCGCUGCCACCGGCUCUCU